AAGAAAUGGCAAAAAAAAAAAAAAAAAAAAAAAAAAAAAGGGAAAAGGGCAAGUUUCAUUUAGCCUCAGAAGUGAAAGCAGAACUGUAAGAGGGUAGGGAAAGAAACACAGGCUUAAUUGUAUCUGUAGGAGUUUACUCUUGGUUGUGAGAGAAAUGCCUGGCUUCAUAGAAAAAUGACUUGAAGGGAAAUGUUGGGCUUUUUUACUCUACAUAUUUUUAGGAAAUAAGCUGUAAUGUGAAAGCCACACAUUGGUGCAGCUCAAAGAGCAUGAUACCUGGAGCUUGAAAGAGCCAUGCCUGCAUUCCACCUUCUCCAUUUACUAGAUACAGGAAUUUCAGCAAGUUAUGUGAUGCUUUUGAAUCUCAGUUUCCUCAGCUAUAAAACAUAGAUAAUAAUACAGACCUUUCAAGGACAUCAUGCAGUGCUUAACAAGCCUGGCACAUUACAUGAAGAGUGCCUAAUAAAUGAUAACUUUUAUUAGAAACUAUAAAUAGGAAACUGUCUCUAAAUGGUGCCCAUCACACCUGGAGAGGAGCUCCGAAAUGCCCCCUGGAAGUGCUGUAAACCCUGUGACUUGACUUAGUGUGGCAUCGUGCUUGUCUGAUUUUGUUUAUUUCCUAAGAAAUCUUAUAGCAUAUCAUUACUAAAACCCAUUUUGGAGUUUUUACAAUCAGUUAACUAUUUCAAAACCCUUUUCCUAAAUAGGAAGGCAGGUGUUUCCUGCUUCAUCUGUCUAUUUGUACACCUGUUUAAGCAUUUAAAAAUCCACCAAAACAUUUAAAAUCAUGAAUGCCAAUUGCUUCAUGACUAAACAGAAUUCCCUAAAAGUGUAUAUUCCUGCCAACAGCUGAGUCCUUUAAAAGAGGCAGGAAAACCACAUAAGCUUCUCUGUACUAAUACUGUUGAUGUGUUGAGACUUGUACCGGCUCCUUUAGGCCAAAAGGAAGCACAGGUUUUGGGGGAAAAAUCUGAUGCCUGAAGCCAAUAACAUCCAACCUCUUAGCCAGAGAGAUGUAAAUUCUUUGUCUAAACACACAGAAAUAAGACUCAGGGCUGGAAAAGACUCUGAGAAAUAAUGCAGACUCCUGUUUUUAUUGAAUUUAUUUCUCUGAAUGCUAUGUAUGUAAUUGGUAAUCAAUAAAUGUUAUUUCCUUGCUUUGUGAAAUUGUUUUAAAUUUGGAUAAGGAUGAGUCUGUAGUGUUGAAAGAGAGGAAAGCUAAUUUUCUUACACUGGGGCUGGCUGUAAUCUUAUUAGCCAGAUGGUCUGACCAUUAGAGCUAACCAGUCAGACUAGGCAACAGAUAUCUCGGUUGCAAAAUGCAAUUGGAGUUUGGUGAGCUGCAGUCUUUAAAGGUCAGCAUCUGUAUGGGGACAGAGGCACCUCUUGUCUGCCCUUUGGGAGAAGAGACUGGCUCCCUGGUCUCACUCAGGUCAGAAACACCACUACCCAUCCUUUUUAUCUCCAGGUCCUUGUGGUUAAAUCCCAGUGCAUUUGGAAACCCCAAGUGCAGGGGCCAGUUUUAGCCAUUGAAAGUGGUUAAUCCUUCUGGCAGCCCCUCUCCUGCUGCUGUUUGUGAGGGCUGGCUCUUUCAUCUUUGCCUGUUGGAAGAGCAUUCCGAAAAACCCAUGGCAACUCCCAAUUUUGAUAAAGCCUUUCAUUUCCCAUCCUCUCCUUUUGCAGCCUCAUCCAUGUGCUACAUAUUCAUUCCCAAAGAAGCUGGGGAUUGAAUUGAGAUGAUAGUUUCAGAAUGGCUUGGAGUUUAAAAGACGUGAUUAUGUCAGAGAGUUUCCAGCUUUGCGUUUGCUUUGCUUUGAAAUCUGGAGGACUGUCCUCAUGGGAAAAGACUGGAGGCAUCUGGGGAGAGAGCGCCGUGGCCCAAAUGAACUGUGAUAUUUAUUUUGAAAGAGUGCUCGAGGAGGUUGCUGGAUGUAGAGGAGAGUAGGUUUCUGAAGGGUACAAGCUCUCUUGAGCCCUCUCGGCUGAUGGGUGCAAAAUGCGCCUGCACCAAGAGAUCAGAAAACAUGUGGUGGGCAAGGUAGAAGGAGUUGAGUUGGCUGAAAUAAGGAAAUUGGGAGAAAAAGGCUGUAUGAGAGAGAACUUGGCAUAUAUUUGGUAUUUGUGUCUGUUUUUCUCUUGAAAUGGGCCGAUGUGUUGGCAAGAAGCUUCUGGCUGUUGUCAGAGAUAGGAACAUCUGUGCUCCUUUGCAGAAAACUUAGGAUUCUAAAGUGCUUGGUGGAAAGUGUGUAACUGCCACUCACUCUGUCUCCUGAUUAAGAGCUGAGCCUCUGCUGCUUAGAGUGUGUUUUUAAAAGGAAGACGUGGCUUAAGGCUCUGAGUUUUACUUUUGCCUACCACGUGGCAGAGUUUCCAGCAAUGAAAGCUAAGGCUGUCAGAUGCAAGCGUGGCUACUUGGGGGCAAAUCAGCUUUACUGGAUUGGUUAGAAAUAAGGAGGAAAGAUGCCAAGUGAGCAAAGGUAAUUGUGACACAGGCGUGUGAGGAGAGCCAUCAGAGACGUGGCCGAUUCUUUGGACCCUUUGCUUCUGCGAAUGCUAAAUACCGUUACAAUGACCCCAAAAUAUCAAUGGCAAUGCAAUAAGAACUUAAUGUUUGAUCAAAUCAAAGUCCAAUGGGGUCACCCUAGGCAUCAGUAUCUACUCAACACAUUACCCAUUGUCUCUACCUCGCUACCUUGAGCCGGAAGUGAACCACAGCUGGGGCCAAACGCAGAGGACACCCGGAAGUGUAUGGCCACGUGCUUGUGCAAAAUGCAAUCUCUGCCUUGAACAUACAGCAUCAUUUCUGCCACAGCCCUGAAUGUUCUUCCUAGAUAGUUGUAGACUUGGGUUUUGUGGGGCCUGAAGCUUAUGUAAGUUUCAGGCUCACUUUAGAAAAUUACACAAAAUUAGGUACACAAGUGAGUAUUUAUUUAGGAAGAGAAUGGGAAGGGCUCAGUCAAGCGAGAGGCCCUGCAUGUUAAGGUGCCUAAACAUCACGGUAAAUGUAUCUCUGUUCUUUGACGCCUGCCUAUAAAAUGUGCUCUUCCCUUACUUGCUCUGUGCCCCAUGGAGCACUUAGUGCUGGCGAGGGGGUGCUGGGCCCGCUCUCACACGGCCCUUCAGAGUGAAAAUUGCUCCAGCCUUUCUGGGAAGCCAUUAGGCUGUGUGUGCUGAGAGCCUGUGACCCUCUCGUGCUGGGACUCGGUGGUCUGGCCUUUCAGACUCUGUGUGCCUCUGAGGGGCUGAGCGCAUGCAAGUGAAGGCAGGUCCAGGCUGAUUGAAACCCAGCCACCGAUGACUUCAUGUUCCUUAACUUUUCCAAACUGAAGGUCCCCCCCUCCCUUCCUUAUAAAAUUGGCAUUAGCUGAGCGCAUAACUCACAACGCGGGAUCUGAGCUGCGUCUGUGACCUACACCACAGCUCACGGCAACACCGGAUCCUUAACCCACUGAGUGAAGCCAGGGAUCAUACCCUAAACCUCAUGCUUCCUAGUCGGAUUCAUUAACCACUGAGCCAUGACAGCAACUCCAGUAAUGAGUAAAUUUAAAAAAACACUGAACUUAUGAAAACGUUAGCAUUGGCCAUUCCUGGAUGAUAGACAAAUGACCAGACUUUAUUCUCAUCCUUUAUAGUUUUCUGCAUCUUGCAAAUUAUAGUUUUUACAGUAAUUAUCUGCUGAUACCCUCCCUCGAAAUAACAGUAUUGCAGCAUUACAUUUGCCUGAUAUUUUACUGCCUUUCCAAAGUUCUCUCACAUUACAUUUAAUCUUCACAACAACUCUGAGAGAACAACAAAGGAAACACACAUUUUUAAUAGAAAACAGAUCAAACUAAACAAACCCAUCCCACUACUAAAACUUUGAAUUGGUUGAAAUACCCCGAUAGCAUCAUUUCAGAAAUCUCCAUCUCCUUCCUCAUGCUCCCCUAAUUAAUCCUGCUGUUUGCCAAGCACUGUAACAAAGGGAAAAAAGACUACUCUCAUCUCAAUUAAAAUGGUUUUCUAUUUAGAUAUUAAACCACAUGUAUUUCAACAGUGUUGGUUUGGAUUAUUUCUUCAUGGACAUUCUAGAAUGGAGUUUGGAACCUUAGUUUGUUCCAUCAGAAAAAUGCUUUCUGUGUUUCAAGGAGGUGUAGAAGUCCGCUUAGGGUCAGAGCCUGCCUGCUUCCUGAGUAGCCACCUGUGCUUCCCGCCCCACUGCAGACCCAGCCCUUGAAGCUGGAGGAGGGGGUGGGAGUUGCUGAAGGAGUCUCUCGGACCAGGGGCCAACACCUCCUAGAGCAUCAGAUCAUCCUGGAUGCUCUCCUGUCCUGGCUGACUCAUGUUCUCUACCUGGUUUCUGUUUUGUUUCAAGUGCUGUAAUCCUUGCCAGGAGAACCCACUGAUUGCCAAGCCCUUGGCUCACACCAGUCCCUCCUUCCUGCCUUCCUUGCUCUCCAGUGCAAAAGCUGGAGUUUGCCUCCUGCCCCAGCCUGGGAACUGACACCUCCCUGGAAGACCUGUGUGAAGAUUUCCCUGAUUCUGACUCCCUGCCUGUACCUGGGGAUGCUGUGGUUCUUAGAUUGGUCCUCACCCUGCUUGGUCUUGCUGAAGGCUUCUUUUUCCCAAUCUGACCUGCAGAGGCUGACCCAGUUAUUUGAGCUGAUCCAAGGCAUCUUUGGCCUUGACAUUUAGCAGAUAGAUUUCCCUGGAGCAGUGCACUCCCUUUCAGCUACCAAAGCUGCCUCUCUCCUUGCUCUCAUCCUUGCUCACCCCAGAGGCCUGAGCAGAUCCAGUUCCAGAUUCUGGAAUCUCCCAGGGGCCUUACUCCAUUGCAGUUAACUGGGCCAGGUCACUAGAAGAUACCGUGCUUUGAAAAGACGAUCUGGUUUUUAAGUUGCUAACUGCUUGGAGGACAGCAGAGCUGCCGGCUGCUGGAGGGCCUGGAAGCUGGGGAGCAGAGAUGACUUGGGCUGAUCCUACUGUAUAGCAUGGGGAACUGUAUCAGAUCUCUUGGGCUAGAACACGAUGGAAGAUAAUUUGAGGAAAAGAAUAUAUAUAUGUAUGACUGAGUCACUUUACUGUACAACAGAAAUUGGCACAACAUUAUAAAUCAACUAUAAUAAAAAAUUUUAAAAAUGCUAUUGAAGGAGUUCUCUGGAGGUGCAGCAGGUUAAGGAUCCAGCAUUGUCACUGCAGUGCCUUGGGUCUGUGCUGUGGCAUGGGUUUGAUCCCUGGUCUGGUAACUUACACAUACUGUGGGCACAGCCCCUCCCCCUCCAGAUACAAAGAUGAUUCAAAAUAUGUUGCAGUUUCUACCUGUAACAGUCUCGAGUCUGGGAAAGUAUGGUGGAAUGGAAGUUUUAAUUUCUCUAACAGACAUGUCAGGUUAAAUGGGAAGUGUUGGCAGGAAAAAGGGUAGUGGAUGAGAGCCUGGAUGGCUGGGUUCAAUUCCUAGGGCUGCCCUAACAAAUUGCAGCAGGGUGAAUUAGAAUAGCAGAAAUUUGUUCUCUCAUGGUUCUGGAUGCUAGGAGUGCAGAAUCAAGGUGUCAGCAGGGCCUUGCUCCCUGGGAAGCCUCCAGGGGAGGAUCCCUGCUUGGCUCUUCCAGCUUCUGGUAGCUCGAGGCAUUUCUAGGCUUGGGCAGCUUUACCUCCAUCUCUCCAUCUUCCCAUGGCCGUCGUCUUUCCAUGAGUGUCUGUCUUUGCAUGCUCUUUUCCUCUUCUUGUAAGGACACCAGUCAUAGUGGAUUAGAGUUCACCCUGAUGACCUUGUCUUAAUUUGAUUUCAUCUGCAAAGACCCUAUUUCCAAGGAAGGUCACGUUCAUGGAUACUGAGGGUUAGGACUUCAGUACAGCUUUUGGGGAGACGCAGUUCACCCCAUAACAGCUGCCUAUGAUACAGUCCUGCACGCCUGCUUUAGUGGUGUGGCCACCAGCACAACUGCUUUGCGUCUCAGUUUUCUUGGCUGUAAAGAGAUGAUAAUAGGGUCUCCUUGGACUUCUCUUGUGGUGCAGCUGGUUAAGGAUCUGACAUUGUCACUGCAGUGGCUUGAGUCACUGCUGUGGUUCGAUCCCUGGCAUAGAAACUUCCACAUGCUGCAGGUGCAGACCAAAAACAAAAACAAAAAA
rnacentral:lncRNA from 9 species